GCAUAUAUGUGAAAUAAAAUACUCACUAUCGAAUUUUUGCAGUCGUGCCCUCGACACAGCUCCGUGUAGGACGAGUACUCUACGUACACGAUCCAGCUCCCCACAAACACCGCCAGCCACGAGAAGAACAGGUACUUCAUGUGCAGGUCUUCAGCAUUAACAGUUAUAGCCAAACAGGAGCACCUGAUCUGCAGUACAGGCCACGCCCCCGUCACACCUGGUGGUGAUUCAGCAUGAAGGUCCAUGAGCUGACAGACGGCGAAUCCCUCUGAAAACAUCCAGAUUUCCUCCUUUUGUGGUAAGUG